rnacentral:sRNA from 1 species
AAAAAUAUACUUAAAACUUUAAUUUUUUUAAAACACAUUUUGAUUCUUUUAUAAGAAAUUUAAACAUUAUAAAUAUUUAAACUUUAUAGUACGGGUGAAAUUUUAGAAUUGACUGUUUGGGUUGAUAAAAAUUUACGAUAGAACUAGGAGUUAAAUCCUAGAAUGACAAUCAAAAUAUAAUUAUACAAUUAAAUACUACCACGAGUGAAAUCCUAGAAUUGACGAGUUUUUGAAUCGAUAUUAAUAUGGGAUGGUGUACUACGGGUGAUAUUUUAGAAUUGACUGGUUUGGGUUGAUAAUAAUUUGCGAUAGAAUUAGGAGUAAAAUCCUAUAAUGACAAUUAAAAUAUAAUUAUACAAUUAAAUACUAGCACGGGUGAAAUCCUAGAAUUGACGGCCUUGAUUCGAUAUUAAUAUGGGAUGGUGUACUACGGGUGAAAUCCGAGAAACAACAAUCAAAAUACAAUUACACAAUAUUAAACAUUUAACAAAAUAAACAAAUACAACUUAAAACUUUAAAAUUUGAGUUAUAAAAUUUCUUCUCGCGGUGAAUUAUACAUUUAAAUCAAACAAUAGCAUAAAUUUAUAAA